rnacentral:lncRNA from 1 species
GUUGGUCUAUUUUACUGCUAUCAUAUUGUAAAAUUUGAUAAAAUUUUGCGGGUAUUGUUGGUAUAAGAAUCAGAUAGCACUAGAUUUGUGUUGAUAAUUAGUAGCUGAAAAAAGGUCGAACCUCCAUUUUUAUCUUUCUUGAUCAUUCAAUAAGAUUCAAUCUUCUACUUGAUAAAUACAAAACUUUUUAUUGCUGAACAUAUCGGUG